GCCUGGUUAGCAUAACAGUAAUGUGCCCGUUUUGUAAUCGGAGGAAAUAAGUGCGACACUUAUACUAGGCU
rnacentral:tRNA from 1 species